GAAGCACACGAACAAUGGCUACUAAUCUUUCUUCAACGAAGUCCGACCAAACAAACAAAAGAAAGCAAGAAAGAAAAAUAAACAAGUACCAAGCGGGGGUUGACAGGUCUGCUCUCGACUGGAUUUCUGAAAAAAACAUAGAAUCUUAUCGAACAGUAAGAUAUAAGUUUUUUACAUAUCCUCUAGAACACAUCUGUCGCCCCCGCUUGAUGGGGGUUGUGGAUCAAUUCUGGAUCCGCAGCCCCAAGCAAUGCCGACACACAGGCAGCAGCCCCUCCCAGCUCUUAUGCCAGCUGUGAUUUUCUCAGUUUAUGAG